rnacentral:rRNA from 1 species
UGUCAAGUCUGGUAAUUGGAAUGAGUACAAUCUAAACCCCUUAACGAGGAUCAAUUGGAGGGCAAGUCUGGUGCCAGCAGCCGCGGUAAUUCCAGCUCCAAUAGCGUAUAUUUAAGUUGCUGCAGUUAAAAAGCUCGUAGUUGGAUUUCGGAUGGGUUCCGUCAGUCCGCCGUUUCGGUGUGCACUGGCGGUGCCCAUCUUGCUGUCGGGGACGGGCUCCUGGGCUUCACUGUCCGGGACUCGGAGUCGACGAGGUUACUUUGAGUAAAUUAGAGUGUUCAAAGCAGGCCUACGCUCUGAAUACAUUAGCAUGGAAUAACACGAUAGGACUCUGGCCUAUCUUGUUGGUCUGUAGGACCGGAGUAAUGAUUAAGAGGGACAGUCGGGGGCAUUCGUAUUUCAUUGUCAGAGGUGAAAUUCUUGGAUUUAUGAAAGACGAAC